AUUGAACGCUGGCGGCAUGCCUUACACAUGCAAGUCGAACGGCAGCGGACCUUCGGGUGCCGGCGAGUGGCGAACGGGUGAGUAAUAUAUCGGAACGUACCUUUCAGUGGGGGAUAACGUAGCGAAAGUUACGCUAAUACCGCAUAUUCUGUGAGCAGGAAAGCAGGGGAUCGCAAGACCUUGCGCUGAUUGAGCGGCCGAUAUCAGAUUAGCUAGUUGGUGAGGUAAAGGCUCACCAAGGCGACGAUCUGUAGCGGGUCUGAGAGGAUGAUCCGCCACACUGGAACUGAGACACGGUCCAGACUCCGUACGGGAGGCAGCAGGUGGGGAAUUUUGGACAAUGGGCGCAAGCCUGAUCCAGCCAUGCCGCGUGAGUGAAGAAGGCCUCGGUUGUAAG
rnacentral:rRNA from 1 species